AGAAACUCUGGCUAGAAGGUCAGCAUCCCGGAGUCGCCUCUUCACCGUUGACAUUGAGACUGGACAGAGAAACUCUGCCUAGAAGGUCAGCAUCCCGGAGUCGCCUCUUCACCGUUGACAUUGAGACUGGACAGAGAAACUCUGCCUAGAAGGUCAGCAUCCCGGAGUCGCCUCUUCACCGUUGACAUUGAGACUGGACAGAGAAACUCUGCCUAGAAGGCCAGCAUCCCGGAGUCGCCUCUUCACCGUUGACAUUGAGACUGGACAGAGAAACUCUGGCUAGAAGGUCAGCAUCCCGGAGUCGCCUCUUCACCGUUGACAUUGAGACUGGACAGAGAAACUCUGCCUAGAAGGCCAGCAUCCCGGAGUCGCCUCUUCACCGUUGACAUUGAGACUGGACAGAGAAACUCUGGCUAGAAGGUCAGCAUCCCGGAGUCGCCUCUUCACCGUUGACAUUGAGACUGGACAGAGAAACUCUGCCUAGAAGGUCAGCAUCCCGGAGUCGCCUCUUCACCGUUGACAUUGAGACUGGACAGAGAAACUCUGCCUAGAAGGUCAGCAUCCCGGAGUCGCCUCUUCACCGUUGACAUUGAGACUGGACAGAGAAACUCUGCCUAGAAGGCCAGCAUCCCGGAGUCGCCUCUUCACUGUUGACAUUGAGACUGGACAGAGGAACUCUGCCUAAAAGGUCAGCAUCCCGGAGUC